CACCUCCGCCUCCACCUCCCAUGCGUGGUAAUUCUUCUCUGCCUCCAUCUCCUAUCAGUCAUGGUGUUUCUCUGCCUUCACAUUGCACUCCACCUACACCACCACCGCCGCCGCCCCCACCCCCACCUCCUCCUCAUGCUGUUGCGCAGCCUACCCUGCCUAUUUUGCGUGGUGGCGCUCCACCACCUCCACAUCCGAUGGAUGAAGCGCCACUUCCACCUUCCCCAUUGCCUGGAGCACCACCUCCACCACCCCCCAUGCAUGGAGCUUCACCUCCAACUUUCCCAUUGCCUAGAGCUCCACCUCCACCUCCACCUCCACCUCCACCUCCACCUCCACCUCCCCUCAUGCGUGGAGCACCACCUCCACCUCCCCCUCCUCCGAUGCAUGGAACCCGACCUCCACCCCCUCCAUUGCCUGCUGGUCCACCUCCUCAACGUGGAGCACCACCACCGCCUGCUCCCCCUAUCCGUGGGGCCACUGCUCCACCUCCACCACCUCCUCCCAUGCAUGGACCACCAGCUCCACCACCCGCUCCUGGAGGCCGUGUACUGGGUCCGCCUAGACCUCCAGGUGUGGGACCUCCCCCGCCUCCUCC
rnacentral:lncRNA from 1 species